rnacentral:lncRNA from 1 species
CGAACCUUAGUUCUUAAAGGUGUCUUGAAAGGUUUAUUGACAUUUGAUUCCAAUUUAACAUUUUGACUGUAAUAAAUUGUUAAGACACACAUUAAAUGUGUCAUAUACUGAAUUUCAACACAUUGCAGACCACCAGCAUACUGACUUUUGCUGCCAGCAAGUCUCCAUAAACUUUCCUUGCACUAACUGUUUGGAAUGACGACAGCUGGACCAGUCUGGACAAGUGGAGAUGAAUCUGUUGCUUUUUUUUAGGUAAGUAACAAAACCUGCCCUUCACUGUCUCAGCUUUCAGACUUCAGAUGAAAUUCAGAGAUCCAGCAAAAGUCUCACUGCAUUCUGUACAGACCUCUCAUGGCU